rnacentral:rRNA from 1 species
UACGUAGGGCGCAAGCGUUGUCCGGAAUUAUUGGGCGUAAAGAGCUCGUAGGCGGUUUGUCGCGUCUGCUGUGAAAACCUAAGGCUCAACCUUGGGCUUGCAGUGGGUACGGGCAGACUAGAGUGCGGUAGGGGUGACUGGAAUUCCUGGUGUAGCGGUGGAAUGCGCAGAUAUCAGGAGGAACACCGAUGGCGAAGGCAGGUCACUGGGCCGCAACUGACGCUGAGGAGCGAAAGCCGUGGGGAGCAAACAGG